rnacentral:rRNA from 1 species
AAGUACAGUGAUGGAAAGAUGAAAAGAACUUUGAAAAGAGAGUGAAAAAGUACGUGAAAUUGUUGAAAGGGAAGGGCUUGAGAUCAGACUUGGUAUUUUGCGAUCCUUUCCNNNUUGGUUGGGUUCUCCGCAGCUUACUGGGCCAGCAUCGGUUUGGACGGUAGGAUAAUGAUUAAGGAAUGUGGCUCUGCUUCGGUGGAGUGUUAUAGCCUUNGUUGAUGCUGCCNGUCUAGACCGAGGACUGCGUCUUUUGACUAGGAUGUUGGCA